GACAGAGGGUGCAAACGUUUGUUCGGAAUUACUGGGCGUAAAGCGUGUGUAGGCGGCUUGCCAAGUCGGAUGUGAAAGCCCAGGGCUCAACCUUGGAAUUGCCUUUGAUACUGGCUAUCUUGAGUUCGGGAGAGGUGAGUGGAAUGCCGAGUGUAGAGGUGAAAUUCGUAGAUAUUCGGCGGAACACCAGUGGCGAAGGCGACUCACUGGCCCGAUACUGACGCUGAGGCGCGAAAGCGUGGGGAGCAAACAGGG
rnacentral:rRNA from 1 species